rnacentral:rRNA from 1 species
CCUACGGGAUGCUGCAGUGAGGAAUAUUGGUCAAUGGACGCAAGUCUGAACCAGCCAUGCCGCGUGCAGGAAGACGGCUCUAUGAGUUGUAAACUGCUUUUGUACGAGGGUAAACGCAGAUACGCGUAUCUGUCUGAAAGUAUCGUACGAAUAAGGAUCGGCUAACUCCGUGCCAGCAGCCGCGGUAAUACGGAGGAUUCAAGCGUUAUCCGGAUUUAUUGGGUUUAAAGGGUGCGUAGGCGGUCGGAUAAGUUAGAGGUGAAAUCCCGAGGCUCAACUUCGGAAUUGCCUCUGAUACUGUUCGGCUAGAGAGUAGUUGCGGUAGGCGGAAUGUAUGGUGUAGCGGUGAAAUGCUUAGAGAUCAUACAGAACACCGAUUGCGAAGGCAGCUUACUAAGCUACUUCUGACGUUGAGGCACGAAAGCGUGGGGAGCAAACAGGAUUAGAUACCCGAGUAGUC